GCGAAUGGUUGGGUUUCCUUGACCUAAACUUGUGCAAACGCUCAGUCACAGACUUGAGCAAAUGAGCAAUGGCUCGUUGGAAAGAAAGGAUGACGUAAGAGCCUUCCACGAGUAAUGAGUAAUUAGGGACAAUGGAUAACAUUGUGCCGUGUGGGUAGUAAGAAUUCCAUCAUGGAGAUUAUUUGAGACUUCUUGCCUGGGAAGAUGGGGGCUGGGCCAGGAUCUAGACCAGCUGGAUGAACUUAGGGAGGCAUCACUUCCUCCACCCUGCACAUCGAUCCUAGAGAAGCCGCACCUGCUCCCACAGCCCUGGUCGCCGGCGGUGGGCGGUGGCCCCUGGCCCCAGGGUGGCUGCCAACCUCAGCUGGUCAAUCGGGUUUUAUUCAUCUAGAAUCUGCGGCUGAGACCUAGACACCAGCCCCUGCUGUGCUUGAACUGAGAAGACCCGAAGAGCUGGGCUGGAGGCAGCCAGGAGCCCUUCCAAAGCUAGCUCUUGAUGGAGCAAUGGAGCUGUCCCGGGUUCCACAACAGGAGCCUCAAUGUUGUCCUCUGUGGAAUGAGGCUAAUAAAGAUGUUGGAAGGAUAA